GUGCUCACUUCGACAGCACAUACACUACAAUUGGAACGAUACAGAGAAGAUUGGCAUGGCCCCAGCCCAAGGAUGACACAGAAAUUCAUGAAGCCUACCAUAUAAAA